CGAACGAAAGCGCCUUUAUUUGAUUUUCUUCGGAACUGAAGAUUUGGUGACUGAGUGGCGGACGGGUGAGUAACGCGUGGGUAACCUGCCCUGUACAGGGGGAUAACAGUCAGAAAUGACUGCUAAUACCGCAUAAGACCACAGCACCGCAUGGUGCAGGGGUAAAAACUCCGGUGGUACAGGAUGGACCCGCGUCUGAUUAGCUGGUUGGUGAGGUAACGGCUCACCAAGGCGACGAUCAGUAGCCGGCUUGAGAGAGUGAACGGCCACAUUGGGACUGAGACACGGCCCAAACUCCUACGGGAGGCAGCAGUGGGGAAUAUUGCACAAUGGGGGGAACCCUGAUGCAGCGACGCCGCGUGAGUGAAGAAGUAUCUCGGUAUGUAAAGCUCUAUCAGCAGGGAAGAAAAUGACGGUACCUGACUAAGAAGCCCCGGCUAACUACGUGCCAGCAGCCGCGGUAAUACGUAGGGGGCAAGCGUUAUCCGGAAUUACUGGGUGUAAAGGGUGCGUAGGUGGUAUGGCAAGUCAGAAGUGAAAACCCAGGGCUUAACUCUGGGACUGCUUUUGAAACUGUCAGACUGGAGUGCAGGAGAGGUAAGCGGAAUUCCUAGUGUAGCGGUGAAAUGCGUAGAUAUUAGGAGGAACAUCAGUGGCGAAGGCGGCUUACUGGACUGAAACUGACACUGAGGCACG
rnacentral:rRNA from 1 species